rnacentral:rRNA from 1 species
CACCGCAGAACCAACUAGCAAGGUCGAGGCUUUGCUGCGUACUGAUGAUUUGAUUGACCCCAGCGUGUGCCAAUCAAGCAUUGAAGGACUGUGGCGUGGUGGGUGCACCGUGUGUGUGUCGUUGCUUAAUACGACUCUCUCCGGUAUCACAUCUGGAGCGGGCUAUCCAGUCACAAUCCCCAGCGAAAUGUGCAUACAAAAGGGUAGCCCCGAUGUGGUGGGUCCCGGUAGUCCCGGGAUUCUCCCUCAAAGCCAGCUCAUGUGACACCACACAAAAAAAGUGUGUGUGAGAGAGAGAGAGAGAGACCAAACGUACCCUGAAGCAACGGUAUGUGCGCACACGAGUGCAACUGAUCGAAGCCGCACGAUCGAGAACAACAACAUCCCCGAUCAAAAGU